rnacentral:rRNA from 1 species
UACGAAGGGAACUAGCGUUGUUCGGAUUUACUGGGCGUAAAGAGCAUGUAGGCGGAUUGGACAGUUGAGGGUGAAAUCCCAGAGCUCAACUCUGGAACGGCCUUCAAUACUUCCAGUCUAGAGUCCGUAAGGGGGUGGUGGAAUUCCGAGUGUAGAGGUGAAAUUCGUAGAUAUUCGGAGGAACACCAGUGGCGAAGGCGACCACCUGGUACGGUACUGACGCUGAGAUGCGAAAGCGUGGGGAGCAAAC